rnacentral:rRNA from 1 species
ACGGGAGGCAGCAGUGGGGAAUAUUGCACAAUGGGCAAAAGCCUGAUGCAGCGACGCCGCGUGAGUGAUGAAGUAUUUCGGUAUGUAAAGCUCUAUCAGCAGGGAAGAAAAAUGACGGUACCUGACUAAGAAGCACCGGCUAAAUACGUGCCAGCAGCCGCGGUAAUACGCAUGGUGCAAGCGUUAUCCGGAUUUACUGGGUGUAAAGGGAGCGCAGGCGGUACGGCAAGUCUGAUGUGAAAGCCCGGGGCUCAACCCCGGUACUGCAUUGGAAACUGUCGAACUAGAGUGUCGGAGGGGUAAGUGGAAUUCCUAGUGUAGCGGUGAAAUGCGUAGAUAUUAGGGGGAACACCAGUGGCGAAGGCGGCUUACUGGACGAUAACUGACGCUGAGGCUCGAAAGCGUGGGGAGCAAACAGGAUUAGAUACCCUGGUA